AUGGUUCACCUACGGCAAUUCAUUGCCCUUUGGUCUCUCAUCCAGGAUUUCCAUCUUGAUGAGCAUGCCAAAGAUAACAUCCUUUCGAAGCUCAUGGAGAGUGGCCUAUACUCAACGGAUACCUCUUACUUGGUGCAAUUUAUUGGCACCGUGUACUCUCCUAUCGAUCACAUGGUUUGGAAGGUGUGGUCUCUGCCCAAAAUUAAAUUCUUUGCUUGGUUGGCCAUCCAAGAUAAGAUUUGGACUGUCGACCGCUUGGCCAAGCGUGGAUGA
rnacentral:rRNA from 1 species